AAAGCGUGCGCAGGCGGUUCGGAAAGAAGGAUGUGAAAUCCCAGGGCUUAACCUUGGAACUGCAUUCUUAACUACCGGGCUAGAGUAUGUCAGAGGGGGGUGGAAUUCCGCGUGUAGCAGUGAAAUGCGUAGAUAUGCGGAGGAACACCGAUGGCGAAGGCAAUCCCCUGGGCCUGUACUGACGCUCAUGCACGAAAGCGUGGGGAGCAAACAGGAUUAGAUACCCUUGU
rnacentral:rRNA from 1 species